ensembl:lncRNA novel transcript
GGACACCUGCGCGUUAGGAGAUUCUGGAGCCAGAAGGACAGCCGAAUGGCCUUCGCCCGCCCUGCCCCUCGCCUGCUUCAGAAGCCCCUGGAAACGCCCCGGUCUGCGACCCGGGUUCGAGCAGCCAGGGGGCUCAAGGGAAGCUGAACGCCUGGUGGGCUCCCGGGAUGGCUCUUCCCGUUCUUUGCACAGCCUUCACCCAGUGAGGGAGCCUGUGCCCUCCCUGCUCAGUCGCAUUCGGGGCGCUGCGGAGCUUCCGCUGCCUUCUUCGGAUCCUGCGUUCGGCACCGGGGCUCCACCAGGGCAGGGAUCGUGGUGAGGGUCGCUCGUGGAUCCCCUCGCGGGGAGCAGGGUCUGGCACUCACCAGGGCGCACGACUAGGACUUGUUGAAUGAAUCCGUCGUCGCCUUUAUCUUUUAGUCCUUUGAAGAGCCUUGAGAAUGGAAAUCAUGAGAGAUUUUUCCAUGGGGGAAGUUCUUUUUACGAAACGUUUAUUCAGAUUGAUUUCUCGGCACCCCGCGGGGAGGGCAACGGGCAGGGCUUCCAGUGCACCUUCUGCGCAGUGGAGCCGCGGGGGCUCAGCUGGACAGUGGUCGGGUCGUGGGGCUGGAGGGCGGGAGCGGGGGAAGGGAAAAGCAAAAGCGGGGAAAGAAGCCGGAGAGCGGUGGACCAGACAUCUAGACCUGAAAGGCUCGUGCGGAGGCAGAGGCGGGAUCUUCCGGAGAAGCAACAUGUAACAGUUUCAUUGAAAGUAAGGUUGCCCGGGCACAGUGGCUCACCCCUGUAAUCCUAGCACUUUCGGAGGCUGAGGCGGGCAGAUCAUCUGAGCUCAGGAGUUUGAGACCAGCCUGGCUAACAUGGUGAAACCCCAUUUCUACUAAAAAUACAAAAAAUUAGUCGGGCAUGGUUGCGCAUGCCUGUAAUCCCAGCUACUCGGGAGGCUGAGGCAGGAGAAUCAUGUGAACCCGGGAGGUGGAGAUUGCAGUGAGCCAAGAUCCCGCCAUUGCACUCCAGCCUGGGCAACAAGAGUGAAACUCCAUUUCAAAAAAAUUAAAAAUAAAAAUAAAUAAAUAGAGUGAGGUUAAUUUUGACCUUAUGGAGUCUCUCCCCAACCCCUACAUACCUUUGCACUUGUGGAUUGUCAUUUUGUCAUGGCUUUGAUAUAAAAAUAUAUCAAUAAGCUAUAUGCAGUGCUAAUGUAAGUUUGAAUUUCAUCCUGACUCCAUAAGCCACUUUCCAUUUUGAUAAAGCCUAGAAAUAUUCAUGUCCAUCUCCUUGAAUAUGGGUAAUGGAUACCUAUUGUGGGGCCCACUCUCAAUCUCAUGGGGUUUUUUAAUUUUUUUAAAUUUUCAUUCAGGUCUCAAUAGAUAUGCCUGGGCUGCCUGAAAGCCACUGAAAAUGGCCCGUGGCCUUGUACAUCUGACAGAGUGGACUAAAAUCUAAGCCAUGGAAUGGGGGGAUGGAAAGUGAGAAACACCAAACUCAGCACACAAUGACUCAGUUUAAAUCUCUGGGCUAAGAGAUCUAUCAUGGCUUCUGGGACAUAAGGCUUUGUCCGGAGGGUGACUGUAGGCUCCCAUGACAAUGCCUACCCCAGAAAGCUCAAGGCUGCCAGAGGAACUUACUUUAGUUCCAGCCAAUACCUGCUGAUGAUGGUAGGUUCAGGAUCUCCCUUUUGUAUAGCACUUACUAAGAAGGGAAUCCUUCCUCCAUCCCUUUGAGAUGUGUUUGUAUCUCCUAGGGACUCCAGUGUGUCUUUCCCUAGGAUCUGAAAGCCAUUCCUUUGAGCUGUAGUUCUCAGGAAGGACUGAGCCUCUGUCUUCCAGUCUCUGUGGGAGGUUAGAAUCCUAUCUUCUAAUAUUGUCAGCUAGCAGACACAGCUGGCCUGAUGAGGCAGACAUUCACAAUGUUUCACUUGUGCCCUGCCCCCUGCCCUCUCCCCUACCUCCCUCUCCCCCUAUAAUGCCAUCACCUCUGUACAAAUGGGAACAC